rnacentral:lncRNA from 1 species
AUGUCUUUGCAUACAGAUGGGCUUCUCCAGCUGCCUUGGAGGGUACUCACCAGGGGAAGGAGGAGAGAAAACAGAGGGAGGAGAAACCUGCAGAGCUCACAGCUAGUUCUGCAGGAGGCAGGAGCAGAAUGCAACUUCUGUAGCUUGGAGAGCUUCAGAUGUGAGCCUGAACAAGUCAUUUUCAACAAUGGGAACUUUCACAAGGAGUACACACACAAGGGAGCAAGAAGGAAGGAGAAUGCUCUCAGUAUGCCUAUUUCCAGGGGGAAAGAAAAAAACAAACGAAGCAAGUCAUUUGUAAUGUUACGUGCAGAAGAUUCUGGUGUCAUGAUCUUUCACUUUUGCCCUGCAUCUAAUACUGAGGAUCAUUCAGCCAUGAUGAAACCAGCUGGAGGAAAUUCUCUCCUGCAGGACACGAAGGCCAAUGACGGAUAG